UACGGGGGGGGCAAGCGUUGUUCGGAAUUACUGGGCGUAAAGGGCUCGUAGGUGGCCAACUAAGUCAGACGUGAAAUCCCUCGGCUUAACCGGGGAACUGCGUCCGAUACUGGUUGGCUUGAGUUUGGGAGAGGGAUGCGGAAUUCCAGGUGUAGCGGUGAAAUGCGUAGAUAUCUGGAGGAACACCGGUGGCGAAGGCGGCAUCCUGGACCAAUUCUGACGCUGAGGAGCGAAAGCCAGGGGAGCAAACGGG
rnacentral:rRNA from 1 species